GACGAACCGUCCAAACGUUAUUCGGAAUCACUGGGCUUACAGAGUUCGUAGGCGGUCCGGUAAGUUAGGUGUGAAAUCCCUCGGCUCAACCGAGGAACUGCGCUUGAUACUGCCGGACUCGAGGGAGAUAGAGGAAAGCGGAACUGAUGGUGGAGCGGUGAAAUGCGUUGAUAUCAUCAGGAACACCGGUGGCGAAGGCGGCUUCUGGGUCUCUUCUGACGCUGAGGAACGAAAGCUAGGGGUAGCGAACGGG
rnacentral:rRNA from 1 species